UUUGCUCAAACUUCCAAAAACCUAGUCAGUCGCUUUUUUCUAAUCGCCUUAAACAACUAAAAAUGAAGUUUCUUACCAUAGUUUGCUUAGUGUGCACAUAUUUCUGUCUAACAUACGCCGUUAAGCAUCCCAUUUGUAUUCAGCCUCCAGGACAAAAAGGAGCACCACCAAAAGACGGUCGUAUUAUAAGGUGCCUCGCUAAGAUUCCAAUGUGGUCGUAUUAUUUUUUUUCUAACGACUGCAGGCAAUUUUACUACGGCGGCUGUUACGGCAAUGCAAAUCUAUUCGAAACCCAGCAACAAUGUGAGGCAAAGUGCAAAGUUUGAAGAGAAAUCGUUAUGUAAAAAUGAUCUUAAAAUAUAUAUAGCGGUUCAUUUGUUUGGUUUAUAAAUUUUAGAUAAGAGUUACCUUUGGGGCAUAUACAUAAAUAUUCUAAUUAUAUAUGCAGUUUGACAGGCUUAUAACCGCCGACAAAAUAUAUAAAAAAUAUAUUGUUGUGGGCAAAAAAUUAUGAAUAAUGAAAGAUAAUUACAUUAUUAUAAAUUUUAGAAUUAAUUUUCGAAUUAUAUAUUGCCUGAAUGUCACGUGGACUAAGCCAGCCUUAAUGCCAACAGAUCUCGUAAGUUCACAAAGACAAGGUUGUCCAGGUUUUGCAUUAUAUUUUGUAUAUGUUGAAAACCCAACUAGCAAAACUAAUUUCAGGCUUUUCGAUUUGCUAGUUAAUUUGUGAGAUAAUCGCUCUACCUUGAAAAAAAAAAAAACACAAAAACAAACAAAAUUCUUCA